GAUGAACGCUGGCGGCGUGCUUAAUACAUGCAAGUCGAGCGGACAGACGAUGCGCUUGCUCCUCUCACGUUUGCGGCGGACGGGUGUGAAACACGUGGAUAACCCCCUUAUCAUUCUGGGAACACUUCGGGAAUCCGGCGCUAAUCCCGGAUAAUCUCUUGAACCACAUGGUUCAUUGGUGAAAGACGGCUUUGCUGGCACUACUCGCUGGUUCUGCGCUGCAUUAGCUAGUUGUUACGGUAACAGCUUACGACGGCAACGAUGCGUAGCCGACCUGUCAGGGUGAUCGCCCGCAUGGGAGCUGGGACAGGGUCCAGACUACUACGGGAGGCAGCAGUAGGCAACGUGCCGCAAUGGGCGAGAGCAUGACGGAGCAACGCGGCGUGAGUGACGAAGGUCUCCGGAGCGUAAAACUCGGUUAUGAGGGAAGAACAACUGUGGACGGAAAUAUGCACGGCGUGACGGUACCUAAUCAGAAAGCCACGGCUAACUACGUG
rnacentral:rRNA from 1 species